UUCAAGGCCAGCCUCAGCUACAUAAGACCCUGUCUAAGAAAAUAAAAUUUAAAUUAAAAAAAAAAAAAAAGGAAAAACUAAAGACCCCAAAGAAGUUGGGGUGGAUUUUAUGGGCAUCUCACAAUCCAGAAGUUACCCUUGGCCAAAGCUAUGAUGGAAGGUGGACUGUCUAGCAGACAUAAGCAGGAGGUAGCAUAGGUCUAAGACUCAGCUCGCAGGAACUGCCAAUGGAGUUGACGUACUGGAAGAACCAACUCCAAGUUGUCUUCUGAUUUCCACAUGACACUAAAUAUUUUUACAAAACAAAUGUCACUGGGUGGGGGCAAAGGCUCUAGGUAAAAGUGCUGCAUGAGUACAGCUCCCAGAACUCACAAAGUUGGACUCAAUGUAAACACCUGUAAUGUCAACAAUCCUUCGGGGAAAUGAGAGGCAGAGCCAGGGUAUUCAGAAGCUCGUGGACUAGCUUCUGUAGAGGUAAAACAAGAAAGACCCUGUCUCAAACCAUGUGAAAGAUGAGGACUCCCUAUAAAGUUGUCCUCCCACCUGGACCCUUAGGAGAGACUAUUUGCACACACAAAUGUGCACAUAGCCACAUGCAAUGUGCACACACAAAUGUAUCCACAUAGAGUAUACACUGAUGCUCUCACAGUGUACACACGUAAGUAGAUAUGCAAUGUCCAUGCAACACAUUAUAUGCUUUGGUUGUAAGAAAUGGAAAAAUCAAGGAGAACUGAUCUGGAAGCUUCCUGCCUAGCUUUCAUAGUGCCAGAAGCUGUGUAGCAGCUAGAGGAGAACUGUCUUUGACAGCUCUGCCUGUAGACCCUGCUACAGUACUAACAUGUUAGGCAAGAUAUGCCUGCUGGUGCCAUAGUGGCAUGACUUACGAGUAGCAGUUCCUUUCUGAUUAAAUCUAAAGCCCAUUCCACAGAAGUGAGUUCACAUUUGGUACCGUGAGCCUAGUCAAAAGCUUGCAGCUAGGGAUGUUGUAGGCUCUUACAGGAUGCACAUGCCUGCACUCACCUAUACUAGCAUUGUCUUUCACAACAAAAAUAAAAUUAGUGCAUAAGCAACUCAUUUUAUUGUUUGGUCAAGCUUUUAGCUGCUGUGUCCAGGUAGGGACUAGACUAGAACUAGAGGCAGAAUAUCCAGGGCUAAGUCUAAGCCAAACAAACUUUUAUUAUAGAAUCGUUGGGUUUGUAACUGUCAUAGUGUAGCAAGGGACUGGAGAAAACACUACAAAGACCAACACAUGAAAGACAAAAACACAAAACUACUGAAAACCCUUCCCCACAUGCAACAAACGGAACCUGCUCAAGAAAGCCCGUGAACUUGGGAGGCAGGAGUAUCCCUUAGUUUGAGGCCAGUCUGGUCUACAUAGCAAAUUCCAGGACUAUACAGGAAAAAGAGAAAGCCCAAGAUAUAAAAAUGUGGGGAAGCAGGUACAAUGCUAAUGCACCUCUAAUGAAUCAUGAACCUUGUGGCUUAGCAUGUCUGAGUACAUAUUUUCCCCUCAGCUCACAGAGCUCUUGCUGUCCAGGCCUUGAUUUGUAAUCCAGGGUGGCCCUGAACUCAAGAGAUCUACCUGCCUCUACCUCCUGAAUGCUGGGAUUAAAGGCAUGUACCACUAUGCCCAGCUUGCUUUUUCUUUCUUUUUGAAACAUUAUGUGUAUGCAUGUUUUGACUGCAUGUAUGUCUGUAUACCACAUGCAUGCAGUUUCCACAGAGGUCAGAUGAACAUGUCAACUGGAGUUACAAAUAGUUGUAAACUGCCAUGUGAGUGCUGGGAAUUGAACCUGAGUCCUCUAGUAGAGCAACCUGUGCUAUUAAUCACAAAGCCAUUUCCAUCUUUCCUUUUCUUUAUAAACUUUCUCUUUUUGUCUCUUUAUAUAUGUAUAUGUUGAGUUUGUCAUGUCUGCAUGGUGUAUGUUCAUAUGUGUGUAGAGAUGCGCAUAUACCUAUGGAGAGUACCAGAGGUAAGUUAGAAAGUGUCUUCCUCUAUUUGAGGUAGGAUUUCUCCCAGCAAGCCCAAGCAAUCCCCUUCUCCCUGCAUCAUCAGUGCUGGGAUCACAGAUGUGUGCAGGGUGACACUUGGUUUAUUACAUGGAUGAUGGCACUCAAGGUCUGGUCUUCUUGCUUACACAGCAAGUGCUCUUAGCCACUAAGCCACCAUUCAGCCCUAGACUCUAUUUCUAACCAUAUGUCCUAGUGCAAUUCUCUGUCCUGGAACAGUAGACCCUGGAAACCUCAGUGGGUGGCCUCGAAACUCUGAUCCGAACCUGAAACAAUAUGUUAGUGGUGUUGGGAAGUGUGACCUUUCUGAGUUAACUAGAAACAGAUGAGGUCAUCAGAGUAGGGCUCCCAUGACAGCAUUGCAGCUUCAUAAGAUGAGGAAGAGAGACCCAGCUCGGCACACUUAGCGUCUCACCUUGCAAUUCCUUCUGCCACGUUACAAAGUUGUAAGAAGUUCUUCACCAGAUGUUGCACCUUGCUCCUAGACCUCUCAGUCAUCAGAAUAGUGAAUUAAAUAAGCAUCUAUACUUUAAAAAAUUAUAUUCUAUGUCUGCCUGCCUGCCUGUCUGUCUGUCUAUCUGAGCUUAGUGGACAAUUUAUUUUCUGGAAUUGAUUCUUCUUCACUGUGUGGGUUCCAGGGAUCAAACUGAAGUUGUGAGGCUUGGUGGUGGGCACCCUUACCUGCCGAAUUAUCCAACUGACCCUCCUCUUUCCAAUAUCCUGCUCCCAAACCCUUUGUCACGGCAACUAAAAUGAUCUUAGACAGGCGAUGUGGCUAGAAGUUUGAUUGGAUGUGAGUUGGAAGGGGCUGUUGGGAAGAUGAAUAACUAUUCUGGACCAAGGGAGCCGGAGCAGUCAGAGAAUGAAGAGUCUGGGAUAAUUUUGGUACUUGGUUAGUAUUAGAAGAUUAUUUUGGCUGGCUUAAUGUCAACUUGACCCAAGCUAGACACAUCUGAAAGAAGAGACUAUCAGUUGAAAAAAAAAUGCCUGCAUAAGUUCCAGCUAUAAAGCAUUUUCUGAAUUAGUGAUUGAUGGGGCUAGAGGGCCCGGUCCAUUGUAGGUUGUGUCUCCCCUGGGUUGGUGGUUCUGGGUUCUGUAAGAAAGGCUAAGCAAGCCAUGAAGAGCAAGCUGAUAAGCAGCACUCAUCUUCUGCAUUGGCUUCAGCCUCCAGGACCUUACCCUGUUUGAGGUCCUGUCUUGACCUUCUUCAGUGAUGGAUUACAGUAUGAAGUGUGAGCCAAUAAACCCUUUCCUUCUCAACUUGC
rnacentral:lncRNA from 1 species